rnacentral:rRNA from 1 species
AUGGCGUCGGCGGACAUGUUCCCCAACGUCUCCUUCUCCGACGUCAACGCCGCCGCCUCGCAGGAGGCCGCCGGGAAGGCCGUGUUCGGCCCGGACCCCGCCUCCGGGGCGGCGCGCCUCAGCCUCGUCAGGCCCGGCGCGGAGCAGGCGUUCCAGAUCGACCUCUCCGACGCGCAGAUAUUCAAGCUGGGGCCGAUGGAGUGGCUCUGCGUGAGCGGCGAGACCGAGGCCAAGGCUGGCGUGGAAGAGAGAAUGCUCGAGGCGUGGAAGGCUGGUUAUUGCAGGGUAGAUGAUAUCGAGAAAUUGUUUUCAAGAGCAAUUAAGGUUGUUCUUAGGACAGAAGCCGAGAGCAAAGCCUUCUCUCUAGCUUUUCAACGAUGGAAACAACAAACUAUUAGUGGAAAAGCUGGUGAAUCAUUGGAGAAUGGAUCAAUAGUGGCUUGCAAAAGUAAAUUUGAUACAAAAAUUGAGGCAUCAUCAGCACAGAUGUAUUUCCACUACUAUGGCCAGCUAUUACAUCAGCAAAACAUGUUGCAAGAUUUUGUGAGGACAGGAACAUACUAUGCUGCUGUAAUGGAAAACCGGGCCGACUUCGAGGGUAAAGUUGUGGUUGACGUUGGAGCUGGUAGCGGUAUUCUUUCGUUAUUUGCUGCACAGGCUGGUGCCAAACAUGUCUAUGCAGUUGAGGCAUCUGAAAUGGUUGAACAUGCCCAACGGCUUAUUUCUGGGAACCCAUCGUUUGGGCAACGAAUCACGAUCAUCAAAGGCAAAGUCGAGGAAGUUGAACUUCCAGAAAAAGCUGAUAUACUGAUUUCUGAGCCUAUGGGAACCCUUUUGGUGAAUGAAAGAAUGCUGGAGUCCUAUGUCAUAGCUAGGGACAGAUUCCUUGCUCCAGAUGGUAAAAUGUUUCCAACAACUGGAAGGAUUCAUAUGGCUCCAUUUUCCGAUGAAUACCUCUAUGUUGAAAUGGCAAACAAGUCUCUCUUCUGGCAGCAGCAUAACUUCUUUGGUGUUGAUCUUACACCCUUGCAUGGCUCAGCGUUUGACGGAUACUUUUCACAGCCCGUGGUGGAUGCAUUUGAUCCAAGAUUGUUGAUUUCUCAAUCUACGUAUCAUACACUUGAUUUCACUAGCAUGAAGGAAGAGGACCUUUACGAGAUUGAUAUUCCCCUGAGUUUUGUAUCCUCUGUUGGCACUAGGGUGCAUGGGCUAGCCUGUUGGUUUGAUGUGCUGUUCAACGGGAGCACUGUGCAAAGAUGGCUUACCACUGCUCCUGGCUCCCCUACGACUCACUGGUACCAGUUGCGAUGUGUACUUGCACAGCCAUUAUAUGUCAUGGCUGGCCAAGAAAUAACCGGCCGCCUGCAUUUGGUGGCCCACAGUGCGCAAAGCUACACAAUAUACUUAACUAUGUCAGCCAAAAUGUGGGGUGUGGGUGCGGACCCAGGCGGCAUCCUUCAGACAUCCACUGCCAAGCUCGAACUCAAGGAGCCUUACUACAGGCUGUCUCAACCACAAGCUUAUAUGCCACAAGACCAACAGCAGCUACCGUUGUCAUCUUUGCAGGCGCAAGGAUCUGGGCAGCAGAUGCAAGAUGGUCUCAGCCCUGGCAUCACUGUAGAUCAGGAGAGGGACUCCGCAGCGUUCACUCGACAGGUCUGA